GAGAGAUGAUCAGGUAGAUAGGUCAGGAGUGGAAGUACAGUGAUGUAUGGAGCGGACUGAUACUAAUCGAUCGAGGACUUAACCAAU
rnacentral:rRNA from 1 species